UGACAUGAGUAACGAUAAGGGGGGUGAAAAGCCUCCCCGCCGAAAGCCCAAGGUUUCCUAGCGCAACGUUCAUCGGCGCAGGGUGAGUCGGUCCCUAAGGCGAGGCGGAAACGCGUAGUCGAUGGGAAGCUGGUUAAUAUUCCAGCACUUUAUCGCAGUGCGAUGGGGGGACGGAGAAGGGUAGGUGUACCGGGCGUUGGUUGUCCCGGGGAAAGGAGGUAGGCAUGAGGCGUAGGCAAAUCCGCGCUUCUUUAUGCCGAGCACCGAGACGAGUCCUUUUAGGACGAAGUCACUGAUCCCACGCUUCCAGGAAAAGCCUCUAAGCUUCAGCUGCGAUAGAACCGUACCGCAAUCCGACACAGGUAGGCAGGGUGAGAAUCCCAAGGCGCUUGAGAGAACUCGGGUGAAGGAACUAGGCAACAUAGCACCGUAACUUCGGGAGAAGGUGCGCCUGAGAGUGUGGCUACAUGCGUAGCUGAGCAUUCCCAGGCCGCAGUGACCAGGCCGCUGCGACUGUUUAUCAAAAACACAGCACUCUGCAAACACGAAAGUGGACGUAUAGGGUGUGACACCUGCCCGGUGCCGGAAGGUUAAUUGAUGGGGUCAGCCGCAAGGCGAAGCUCUUGAUCGAAGCCCCGGUAAACGGCGGCCGUAACAAUAACGGUCCUAAGGUAGCGAAAUUCCUUGUCGGGUAAGUUCCGACCUGCACGAAUGGUGUAACGACAGCGGCGCUGUCUCCACCCGAGACUCAGUGAAAUUGAAAUCGCUGUGAAGAUGCAGCGUUCCCGCGGCAAGACGGAAAGACCCCGUGAACCUUUACUAUAGCUUUACAUUGGACGUUGAGUUCGUCUGUCUAGGAUAGGUGGGAGGCAUUGAAGUGUGGUCGCCAGAUCGCAUGGAGCCAACCUUGAAAUACCACCCUGAUGUGCUUGACGUUCUAACCUGGGUCCGUAAUCCGGAUCGGGGACCAUGUAUGGUGGGUAGUUUGACUUGGGCGGUCUCCUCCCAAAGAGUAACGGAGGAGCUCGAAGGUACGCUCAGCGCGGUCGGACAUCGCGCACUGUGUGCAAAGGCAUAAGCGUGCUUGACUGCGAGAUCGACGGAUCAAGCAGGUACGAAAGUAGGACUUAGUGAUCCGGUGGUUCUGUAUGGAAGGGCCAUCGCUCAACGGAUAAAAGGUACUCCGGGGAUAACAGGCUGAUUCCGCCCAAGAGUUCAUAUCGACGGCGGAGUUUGGCACCUCGAUGUCGGCUCAUCACAUCCUGGGGCUGUAGCCGGUCCCAAGGGUAUGGCUGUUCGCCAUUUAAAGUGGUACGCGAGCUGGGUUCAAAAC
rnacentral:rRNA from 1 species